rnacentral:rRNA from 1 species
GGAUUAGAUACCCUGGUAGUCCACGCCGUAAACGAUGUACACUAGGAGUUGGGGGAUACCUUUGGCUCCGCAGCAAAUGCGUUAAGUGUACCGCCUGGGGAGUACGGCCGCAAGGUUGAAACUCAAAGAAAUUGACGGGGGCCCGCACAAGCGGUGGAGCACGUGGUUUAAUUCGAUGAUAAGCGAAGAACCUUACCAGGGUUUGACAUGAUAGUGACCGCUUAUGAAAGUAAGUUUUCCCGUCAGGGACGCUAUUACAGGUGCUGCAUGGUUGUCGUCAGCUCGUGCUG